CCUGCCGUAUGCAGGGGGAUAACAGUUAGAAAUGACUGCUAAUACCGCAUAAGCGCACAGUAUCGCAUGAUACAGUGUGAAAAACGAUAGUGGCAUACGAUGGACCCGCGUCUGAUUAGCUAGUUGGUGAGGUAACGGCUCACCAAGGCGACGAUCAGUAGCCGGCUUGAGAGAGUGAUCGGCCACAUUGGGACUGAGACACGGCCCAAACUCCUACGGGAGGCAGCAGUGGGGAAUAUUGCACAAUGGAGGGAACUCUGAUGCAGCAACGCCGCGUGAAGGAUGAAGGUUUUCGGAUCGUAAACUUCUAUCAGUAGGGAAGAAAAAAAUGACAGUACCUAACUAAGAAGCCCCGGCUAACUACGUGCCAGCAGCCGCGGUAAUACGUAGGGGGCAAGCGUUAUCCGGAUUUACUGGGUGUAAAGGGUGCGUAGGUGGCAUGGUAAAGUUAGGUGUGAAAGCCCAAGGCUCAACUUUGGGAUUGCAUCUAAAACUGCCAAAGCUAGAGUGCAGGAGAGGAAAGUAAAAUUCCUAGUGUAGCGGUGAAAUGCGUAAAUAUUAGGAGGAACACCAGUAGCGAAGGCGGCUUUCUGGACUGUAACUGACACUGAGGCACGAAAGCGUGGGUAGCAAACAGGAUUAAAUACCCUGGUAGUCCACGCCGUAAACGAUGAAUGCUA
rnacentral:rRNA from 1 species